UACGUAGGCAGCAAGCGUUGUUCGGAGUUACUGGGCGUAAAGGGUGUGUAGGCGGUUCUUUUAAGUUUGGUGUGAAAUCUCCCCGGCUCAACUGGGAGGGUGCGCCGAAUACUGAGGGACUAGAGUACGGGAGAGGAAAGUGGAAUUCCUGGUGUAGCGGUGAAAUGCGCAGAUAUCAGGAGGAACACCGGUGGCGAAGGCGGAUCUCUGGGCCUUACCUGACGCUCAGGCGCGAAAGCUAGGGGAGCGAACUGG
rnacentral:rRNA from 1 species